UUCCCAUAGGUUUUGUUUUUGCAUCUUUAACUCUCUCAAAAAAUUUUCUUUUAUAACUAGUUAAGGGACCCACGCGAUGCUGUGGAUAGUUAUUUUAAAAUUUAAUUUUAAAAAUUAGUUAUAAAAAUCAAUUUUAGAAUUUAAAUGGUGCAAUAAGUACAUCAAAAAAUUUUAGUAGCCAUAGUAGUACCUCAUUAGUUAGUGAAAUAAUUUUAGUAGGUAUCGUAGGCCCCCAGUAGUUAGUGAAUGAGAAGAGAAAUUAUUAUUUGUGAUUCUCGUAAUUAAUUUUCAUCAAAUAUAAAAUUAACUUAAGAUGCAUUAAUUUUUUUUAUUUUUUAAUGUACAAUUUAUAUGUGAAUGCUCAAUAUUAUAUUUAAUACCAGUAGUCUAAAUUAUUUAACAUUUAUUUAUAUAUAUUUUACAUUUUAUAAAAAUAAAUAGUAAAUUAUAUAA
rnacentral:lncRNA from 1 species